CAAUGUGUAUGACCAUGCAGUCGUACAUGGUAACAUCGUGAUUAUUGGAUCAUGGUCAGCGGUCUGUACAGGUGGACAAUCUGCCCUUCACUCUGGGACAAGCCCUGGAAACGGGGUCUAAUACCGGAUAAUACUUCUGCCUGCAUGGGUGGGGGUUGAAAGCUCCGGCGGUGAAGGAUGAGCCCGCGGCCUAUAAGCUUGUUGGUGGGGUAAUGGCCUACCAAGGCGACGACGGGUAGCCGGCCUGAGAGGGCGACCGGCCACACUGGGACUGAGACACGGCCCAGACUCCUACGGGAGGCAGCAGUGGGGAAUAUUGCACAAUGGGCGAAAGCCUGAUGCAGCGACGCCGCGUGUAGGAAUGACGACCUAUCGGGGUUGGUACCUUCUUCAGCCGGGAAGAAGCGCAAGUGACGGUACCUGCAGAAGAAGCGCCGGCUAUACUACGUGCAAGCAAGACGGGGGUAAUACGUAGGGCGCAAGUGUUGUUCAGGACAUAUUGGGCGUAAAGAGCUCGUAGGCGGCUUGUCACGUCCGCAUGUGAAAGCCCGGGGCUUAACCCCCGGGUCCUGCAAUUCGAUACGGGCUAGCUAGAGUGUGGUAGGGGAGAUCGGAAUUCCUGGUGUAGCGGUGAAAUGCGCCGAUAUCACGGAGGAACACCGCUGGCGAAAGCUGAUCUCUGGUCCAUUACUGGACGCUGAGGAGCGAAAGCGCUGGUCGCGACCAGCAUUUUAUAUCCUGGUAGUCCACGACCGUAACGAUGGGAACCUAGUUGUAGGGGAGAUCCCACGUGAGAUCGGUGGCCGCUGUCUAAGGCACUAAGUUCCCUCGCCAGGGUGAGUACGGCCACCAGGGCUAAAACUGGAAGGGAUUGGACGGGUGCCCUCACAAACGCGGCGGAUUCUGAUGCCUUAAGUUCGACGCACCCCGCAGAACCUUACCAAGGCUUGACAUAUAUCGGAAAGCAUCAGAGAUGGUGCCCCCCUUGUGGUCGGUAUACAGGUGGUGCAUGGCUGUCGUCAGCUCGUGUCGUGAGAUGUUGGGUUAAGUCCCGCAACGAGCGCAACCCUUGUUCUGUGUUGCCAGCAUGCCUUUCGGGGUGAUGGGGACUCACAGGAGACUGCCGGGGUCAACUCGGAGGAAGGUGGGGACGACGUCAAGUCAUCAUGCCCCUUAUGUCUUGGGCUGCACACGUGCUACAAUGGCCGGUACAAUGAGCUGCGAUGCCGUGAGGCGGAGCGAAUCUCAAAAAGCCGGUCUCAGUUCGGAUUGGGGUCUGCAACUCGACCCCAUGAAGUCGGAGUUGCUAGUAAUCGCAGAUCAGCAUUGCUGCGGUGAAUACGUUCCCGGGCCUUGUACACACCGCCCGUCACGUCCCGAAAGUCGGUGUCUCCGAAGCCGCAGGUGAUUUGAUCUGUGCACAGAGUGAUCACUGCGUAGCA
rnacentral:rRNA from 1 species